rnacentral:rRNA from 1 species
CGGGUAGCCGGCCUGAGAGGGUGACCGGCCACACUGGGACUGAGACACGGCCCAGACUCCUACGGGAGGCAGCAGUGGGGAAUAUUGCACAAUGGGCGAAAGCCUGAUGCAGCGACGCCGCGUGAGGGAUGACGGCCUUCGGGUUGUAAACCUCUUUCAGUAGGGAAGAAGCGAAAGUGACGGUACCUGCAGAAGAAGCACCGGCUAACUACGUGCCAGCAGCCGCGGUAAUACGUAGGGUGCGAGCGUUAUCCGGAAUUAUUGGGCGUAAAGAGCUCGUAGGCGGUUUGUCGCGUCUGUCGUGAAAGUCCGGGGCUUAACCCCGGAUCUGCGGUGGGUACGGGCAGACUAGAGUGCAGUAGGGGAGACUGGAAUUCCUGGUGUAGCGGUGGAAUGCGCAGAUAUCAGGAGGAACACCGAUGGCGAAGGCAGGUCUCUGGGCUGUAACUGACGCUGAGGAGCGAAAGCAUGGGGAGCGAACAGGAUUAGAUACCCUGGUAGUCCAUGCCGUAAACGUUGGGCACUAGGUGUGGGGACCAUUCCACGGUUUCCGCGCCGCAGCUAACGCAUUAAGUGCCCCGCCUGGGGAGUACGG